UACGUAGGGCGCAAGCGUUGUCCGGAAUUAUUGGGCGUAAAGAGCGUGUAGGCGGCUAUACAGGUCCGCUGUGAAAACUCGAGGCUCAACCUCGAGACGUCGGUGGAAACCGUAUGGCUAGAGUCCGGAAGAGGAGAGUGGAAUUCCUGGUGUAGCGGUGAAAUGCGCAGAUAUCAGGAAGAACACCCGUGGCGAAGGCGGCUCUCUGGGACGGUACUGACGCUGAGACGCGAAAGCGUGGGGAGCGAACAGG
rnacentral:rRNA from 1 species